UACGAAGGGGGCAAGCGUUGUUCGGAAUUACUGGGCGUAAAGGGCGCGUAGGCGGCUUACCAAGUCAGGCGUGAAAUUCCCGGGCUCAACCUGGGGGCUGCGCUUGAUACUGGUGAGCUUGAAUGCGGGAGAGGAUAGUGGAAUUCCCAGUGUAGAGGUGAAAUUCGUAGAUUUUGGGAAGAACACCGGUGGCGAAGGCGGCUAUCUGGCCCGUAAUUGACGCUGAGGCGCGAAAGCGUGGGGAGCAAACAGG
rnacentral:rRNA from 1 species